GGGGAAGUAAAAAACUUGACUAUAGUAUGCUAUAAGGGAUAGCAGUAUAGACCUAGCCCACAAGAAUCAUAUUCCCCUGCAUCCUUUGUAUGACUUAUUCAGACGGUUUCCUAUAUAGACAAAAUUGGAAUUUGGUGGAACCUUGGCAAUAACCAUGGUUGUUAAAAAUGCGUUUUAACUCGUAAAAUCAUCCGAUUUUACGAGUUAAAACACAAAAAACGUGUAGAAUCGGGGUUAAAACUCGAAAACCACUAAAAUCGGGUUGACUCGGUCAAACUCGCAUAAAAACGGGUUGACUCGUAAAAAACGUUAAAAACGUAACGAUUCCACGAGUUAAUAAAAAAUUUCACUUUCACGCCUUCACGGUUUCACUUCACCAAAAGGCAAAUGCAGAGUUGCAGAGUGUAGACAAUUAGAAAUGCAAAAUUGCAAUUUGCAAAGCACCAGUCUCUUUCCAGUUUCCAAGUCCCCAUCUCCCACUCUCCCCGUCUCCCUGACCUGACUCCUUUCCCCUUUCCCCUUUCGGCCUUUCCCCUUUCCCCAGCAAUUUAAGAAAUCAAUUUCCCCCGAUCCGGAGCGUUCUUGGCGAGACGAAGGUAAGAAUUGAUUCCCAAUCCCAAGCUUGGUUUGCUGCUGGGUAUUUUUUCGGAGGAGAAGUGGUGCUGCACUGCUCUGUGUUCACCUAUGCUCUGUUUCAUCUUGCAUUCUUGCUUGCUUUGGUGUUGCAGAUUCUGCAAUUUUGCAUAAACAACGAAGCAACGAAGCAUAUUUCCAGGACUGCACUCUUGUCAAGGUCACUUUCCAUUAUCUUUAACUAAGCUUCUUAAUUAUAUGUAAUUUGUCUACGUAUUCUGUGAAUCUGUUUAAUUGCUUGCUUGCUGUUUUUGUGUGUUGUUACUGUUGUAAUUUCUUAUAACUAAGCUUCUUGAUUGUCGGUUCUCAAUGUGUUAAGGUCAGUAUUGGAUUGGAAUGCCUUUUACAGUGCUUCUGUUGCUUUUUUGUGAAUUGUAAAUCAUUAGCAACGUAGGGGUUUUUUCUUGUUUCUUAAACUGGAACUUUCUGCAGUUUUGCUUGUUUGUGACCUACCUCUAUGUAGUUUGCAUACUGUAUUUCUGGGGUUGUUUCUGUCGCUGGCUUUUUGCCUCAUUUAAGCUUUUUGAUGGUGUCAAUCUCCUUCCUUACCAAAAACUAAAGCCUUCUUUUCUACUAUUGAUAUCAAUAAUUGGAGUCUUUCUAUGAUCCUGUAUUACCAAACAAUCAAAAUUCAAGCACAUUUAAAAAAGUCCAGUGAUCUUCUACUUCAUCACGGAAGCCCACGUUGGAUAGGACAUUCUCCAAUGCUUUGACAAACUUUUCAAAGUAAUUUCUAGUCUCAUUUAUCAGUUCAUCUAGCAUUGAAAUGGUUUAAGAGGCCUUUCGUGUACAAAAUUAUGAAGCUUUUCCAGGAUAGUCUAUGCCACGCUUUGUAAGUUGCAAGCACUCAAAAUGUUGUUUCUUAAUAAUUAUCGUUGUUAGACACACCUACAUACUGUUUGUUUUAGGUGUGUUAACUUUUAGUUAUUGAAAUGUAUGAAUUUUUAUUUGAAUUAUGUAUUUUAAGAUGUUUGGAUAUUUGUAUUGUUUAUUUUACUUUUAUUUGAAUUAUGUAUUUUUAGAUGUUUGGAUAUUUGUAUUGUUUAAAAUAUUUUACUUGCGAUUUUACGAUUUUAGUUAAAAU
rnacentral:lncRNA from 1 species